rnacentral:rRNA from 1 species
GCUAAGAAUAUUCCGCAAUGGACGAAAGUCUGACGGAGCGACGCCGCGUGGAUGACGAAGGCCGAAAGGUUGUAAAAUCCUUUUGUCGGGGAAGAAUAAGCGUGGGAGGGAAUGCCCGCGUGAUGACAUGAACCGACGAAUAAGCCCCGGCUAACUACGUGCCAGCAGCCGCGGUAACACGUAGGGGGCGAGCGUUGUUCGGAAUUACUGGGCGUAAAGGGCAUGUAGGCGGCCUGAUAAGCCUGGCGUGAAAGUCACCGGCUCAACCGGUGGAUUGCGUCGGGAACUGUCGGGCUCGAGUCACGGAGGGGGAGUUAGAAUUCCCGGUGUAGGGGUGAAAUCUGUAGAGAUCGGGAAGAAUACCAGUGGCGAAGGCGAACUCCUGGCCGAUGACUGACGCUGAGGUGCGAAAGUGUGGGGAUCAAACAGGAUUAGAAACCCGAGUAGUCC